rnacentral:rRNA from 1 species
UACGUAGGUGGCAAGCGUUACUCGGAAUCACUAGGCGUAAAGCGCAGGUAGGCGGUUGGAUAAGUCUGUUGUGAAAGCUCCCGGCUUAACUGGGAGAGGUCAACGGAAACUAUCCGGCUAGAGUGUGGUAGAGGAAGAUGGAAUUCCCGGUGUAGCGGUGAAAUGCGUAGAUAUCGGGAGGAAUACCUAUGGCGAAAGCAGUCUCUGGACCAUCACUGACGCUGAUCUGCGAAAGCUAGGGGAGCAAACAGG